rnacentral:rRNA from 1 species
AAUCAACGCUGGCGGCGUGCCUAACACAUGCAAGUCGAACGCGAAAGCCCCGCAAGGGGUAAGUAGAGUGGCAAACGGGUGAGUAACACGUGGGUGACCUGCCUUCGAGUGGGGGAUAACGUCCCGAAAGGGACGCUAAUACCGCAUGACAUCCUGCUUUUGAAAAAGCGGAGAUCAAAGCUGGGGAUCGCAAGACCUAGCGCUUGAAGAGGGGCCCGCGCCUGAUUAGCUAGUUGGUGAGGUAACGGCUCACCAAGGCGACGAUCAGUAUCCGGCCUGAGAGGGCGGACGGACACACUUGGACUGAGACACGGCCCAGACUCCUACGGGAGGCAGCAGUGGGGGAUUGUUCGCAAUGGGCGCAAGCCUGACGACGCAACGCCGCGUGGAGGACGAAGAUCUUCGGGUCGUAAACUCCUGUCGAGCGGGACGAACGCUUCGCGGAUGAAUAAUCCGCGGAAUUGACGGUACCGCUAAAGGAAGCCCCGGCUAACUCCGUG